CUUUGAAAACAUGCAGUGGAAAACAAAACGGGUCAAAUCCUUUAACCCCACAUACUAGAGAUCAAAUCUAAACCUACCCAAAUUGAGGAAAAAACACAUAUCAUCAAUCUGGAAUUUAAAAAAAUUUAUGAGAUCAGAUCUCAUUACCUUGGCGCAGGUAGAUAUUCACUGCUUCUGAUGAUCUCGGAUUCGUGGAAGGUUA
rnacentral:lncRNA from 1 species